rnacentral:rRNA from 1 species
GAUGAACGCUAGCGGCAGGCUUAAUACAUGCAAGUCGAGGGGCAGCAUGAUUGUAGCAAUACAAUUGAUGGCGACCGGCAAACGGGUGCGGAACACGUACACAACCUUCCAACAAGUGGGGGAUAGCCCAGAGAAAUUUGGAUUAAUACCCCGUAACAUAGCGAUGUGGCAUCACAUUGCUAUUAUAGAUUUUUCGCUUGGUGAUGGGUGUGCGGCUGAUUAGAUAGUUGGCGGGGUAACGGCCCACCAAGUCUACGAUCAGUAGCUGCUGUGAGAGCAUGAUCAGCCACACGGGCACUGAGACACGAGCCCGACUCCUACGGGAGGCAGCAGUAAGGAAUAUUGGACAAUGGACGCAAGUCUGAUCCAGCCAUGCCGCGUGAAGGAUUAAGGUCCUCUGGAUUGUAAACUUCUUUUAUAAGGGACGAAAAAAGGCUUUUCUAAGUCGUCUGACGGUACCUUAUGAAUAAGCACCGGCUAACUCCGUGCCAGCAGCCGCCGUAAGAC